GAAACAGAGGCAGAAAUAAGAAGCUGUGCCCAAGGUCACCCAGAUACGAAAUGAAGAGAACUUAGAAAAAUUGCAUCGUGAUCAAGCGCUCUGACCUUGGCAAGUUUCUUAGCCCAUUCAUCUCCUUGCUUUCUGUAAAAUGGAGAUGGGUGCCCCUCCUGGGCUCCUCCUCCGGGACAGGCGUGAAGGAUCUGAGUUCUACUUGCAGGUGGAGAUGAAAAAGAAUAAAGGCAGUCCUUUUCACUAGAGAAAUGGAGCAAAGAGCUUCUAUUUGCUUGGCAAUCAUUUCUGGGUUUUGUAGGAAUCUUGUCUUGAAAAGGAUCUCGUCGUGGUCCCUGGACCUGCUCCAACAGUAUCUCCAGUUCAUAAAGCAGACUCAGGGCCCGCAGAGCCACCGAGUCAGAACCUGCUGUUUUCUAGGAUCUCCUGGAGGUUCCUGGGUACACUCCAUUUGAAAAAGCUCUGGUCAACAGCACUGAUUCUUAACCCUGGCUGAAGUUAUGGGUUGAAUUGCGUUCUUCAAAAUGAUGUUGAAGUCCUAAUCCGCAGAAGCUGUGAAUGUGACCUUAUUUGGAAAUAGGGUCUUUACAAAUGAUCAAGUUGAGGCCAUUAGAAUGGAUGGACCCAAAUCCAACAUGACUGUGUUCAUAUAAAAAGAGAAAAUUGAGACACAGAGACAGACAUGAACACAGGGAGAAUCUAAUAUGAAGAUGAAGGCAGAGAUCAGGGUAAUGCAUCUUCAAGACAAGGAGAACCAAAGACUGAUGGGAACCAGCAGGUGCUAGGAGGGAGGCGUGGAACAGAUUUUCCCUUAUGGCCUUCAGAAGGAACCAACUCUAUCUACACUUUGGUCUCCCACUUCUAGCUUCUAGAACGUGUGGUGAAGAAGGAAGAGAGAGCUGAGGCAGACGAUGUAAGAUCUGCUCUUACUUCUUGCUGUGUGACCUUGGUCCCAAACCUGGGCUAAAUUCCGUGUGGUUCAAGAAUAACCACCAGAUGGGAAGAGAAUACAGAUCAGCUUGUCCAAUAAAGAAAGGAAAAAUCCAAAGGAGAUUAUUUCCAUAGACUCAUCAACUUCUAAGCAAGAGUAAAGACAGCUUUGGAGACAGACAGACCUGGAUUCAAAUGCAGAUCUCUUCCUCACUAGGUGGGCAUCCUUGGGUGAAGUAAAGUGGGUGUGCCUGGGAUCAUACACAGCUGGCAUUGUGAUAACCACCUGUGCCAUGUGUCUGCAUCUAUUCCCUUUCUCUCUCCUGGCUCUAUGUGGAGUCCUCUUACAACUCUCAGAAAAUGAAUUUCUUCUAAGAGAGAAAAAUACUGCUCUUUUCUAUUUUUAUUUAUUUUUUAAUUGACACAUUUAGAAUUGCAUAUAUUUAUGGUGAACUGCAUAUGUUUAUGGUAUAUAGCAUGAUGUUUUGAUAUAUGUAUGCAUUGUGGAAUG